UGCCUACGGGAGGCAGCAGUGGGGAAUCUUGCACAAUGGGCGAAAGCCUGAUGCAGCAACGCCGCGUGAGCGAAGAAGGCCUUUGGGUCGUAAAGCUCUGUCCUAAGGGAAGAAGGAAGUGACGGUACCUUAGGAGGAAGCCCCGGCUAACUACGUGCCAGCAGCCGCGGUAAUACGUAGGGGGCAAGCGUUAUCCGGAAUUAUUGGGCGUAAAGAGUACGUAGGUGGUUUUGUAAGCGCGGGGUGAAAGGCAGUGGCUUAACCAUUGUAAGCCUUGCGAACUGCAAGACUUGAGUGCAGGAGAG
rnacentral:rRNA from 1 species